UACAGAGGGUGCGAGCGUUAAUCGGAUUUACUGGGCGUAAAGCGUGCGUAGGCGGCUUUUUAAGUCGGAUGUGAAAUCCCCGAGCUUAACUUGGGAAUUGCAUUCGAUACUGGGAAGCUAGAGUAUGGGAGAGGAUGGUAGAAUUCCAGGUGUAGCGGUGAAAUGCGUAGAGAUCUGGAGGAAUACCGAUGGCGAAGGCAGCCAUCUGGCCUAAUACUGACACUGAGGUGCGAAAGCAUGGGAGCAAACAGG
rnacentral:rRNA from 1 species